GAUGCCUGCCCGGUGACUUCGUGUUAAACGGCCGCGGUAUCCUAACCGUGCAAAGGUAGCGCAAUCAAUUGUCCCGUAAAUCGGGACUAGUAUGAAUGGCUAAACGAGGUCUUAACUGUCUCUUGCAGGCGAUCGGUGAAAUUGAUCUCCCUGUACAAAAGCAGGGAUAACAACAUAAGACGAGAAGACCCUGUGGAACUUUAAAAACAGCAACCACCCCAAGUACACAUACACACCCACCCCGGGUUCACUUACCUAAUGGGAUAUUGGUUUGCAUUUUUUCGGUUGGGGCGACCUUGGAGCAAAACAAAACCUCCAAAUAUGGGACCAUACCUCCAGACUAAGAGCAACCUCUCAAAGUGCUAAUAGUAACCAGACCCAAUAUAAUUGAUCAAUGGACCAAGCUACCCCAGGGAUAACAGCGCAAUCUCCUCCGAGAGUCCAUAUCGACGGGGAGGUUUACGACCUCGAUGUUGGAUCAGGACAUCCUAGUGGUGCAGCCGCUACUAAG
rnacentral:rRNA from 1 species